GUGUUAUAAAAAAUGUAAGCAACCGUUUGUCAUGGAAAUACCUCGAGAAAUCUUGAUCUUGGACUUAGAAAACAACCAAACGAACACCACUUAACCUCGGCUCAACCCAAAACUGCCACACUUGAUUGCCACAAGUUUCACUCCACAAAGGAGACUAUGGUGGUGGUAUAUGCAAUCCACAAAGGAAGGAGAAAGAUGAAGGAAGACACCAAAAAUGCUCCAAGCUCUCUAACUCCAAAGAGAGCCAUCUGUCUCUCUCUUUUCUUCUCUCUUGCACACACACACACACACACAAAGACACGACUAGGAACAAAACAUAUAUAGCAAGACCUUAGGUCACUCAUAUGGAUUGGGCCAUAGUCUUUUCUAUAAAUGGGCUACCACUUAAUUACAAAUAAAUGGACCACACAAUCCAAAACCAUCCAACUUAAACUUGGGCCAUCCAAAAGCAUAGGUCAUUUUUUAGUCGAGCCAAAUCCAUGGCGUCGAUAAAUUAUCCGACAAAUGUUUUAAAUCAUCACCCGAAUUUAUUUGGUAUCAAAAAACCCAACACUGUUAAUGGUCAUCAGAAAUG
rnacentral:lncRNA from 1 species